AAGGCCUUAUCUUAAUUAAAGUGUCUGGGUUGCAUUCAGAUGAUGUGGGUGAAAGUCUUGCAGGUCUUA
rnacentral:tRNA from 1 species